AGUUUGCUAGUAUUUCUGACUCUAGGUGGCCGUGGAUCAUGGGCAAUGUUUAGAGGUUAUGUUUUGUUAAACUUCGUGUUUUGAUUAGAUUUAAAUGGUUAACUUACUUUAAAUUAUUUUUACAGAGUAAUUAUUUAUGAUUGUUCAACGCUUAGAACUGCAAUUUUCAAUUUAGUCAGAGAUUCAUUUAUUAGUGAAAUAUCUAGGUUUGUCCAAAAUGACAUUCCAAUUUUCAUCAGGUGAUCCAUUGAAGUGGAGAGUCAACAUAAUCAUUUCAUCCAGGGAUCUGUCAAGAGUUUUAGAACCUGUUGUCUGCUUGGAGAUUAAACUGGACUCAGGCGAAACCAAGUACAUUGAGGUUCCCAUCUCCAAGUUUCAUCUUAUGAGGCAAAAUGUAGCAGUAGCUUUGGACCAAAUGGAGCUGUGUAGGAAAAGACUUGACUCUAUCAAUCAAACUAUUCCGGGUUGAUGUAUCUAAUCAGGUGAAGUGAACAGUUGUUUUUUUUUAAUAAGUUCGGCGAAAGAAUCCUCCGCAAAAGAUUUAAUAAAAUCAACGUAUUUCUGUGCAAUAGACAGGGUCAUAAAAACUAAAUAAUGAUUAGUGUCGAUUUUACAUAACAUUGUAACACAAUAAUAGCAGUUGAUAAAGAAUAUUAGUUUUCUCAUAAAAAUCGCAUUUCUCUUCUUUGAUUAUGGUACACCUGUGUUUUGUUUUUGAAGAUUUCUAUUGCUAGAAACAUUUUUAUAUGAUCGGUUAAGAGGUGACAAAUAUACAUAAAACAUAAUAAAUUAUAAGAUUGUAUGUAUUUUUAAAAUAAAUUAAUUAUUUAAAUAG